GAAAUGAGCUAACGUUUGCGGAGGACUGAAAAUCCUUGUGUCGUUGGUUCGAUUCCAAUCAUCACCA
rnacentral:tRNA from 1 species